CUACGCACUCCUACGGGAGGCAGCAGUGGGGAAUAUUGCACGAAUGGGCGCAAGCCUGGAUGCAGCCAUGCCGCGUGUAUGAAGAAGGCCUUACGGGUUGUAAAGUACUUUCAGCAGUGAGGAAGGUGGGUAUGUUAAUAGCAUAUUCAUUUGACGUUUAGCUGCAGAAGAAGCACCGGCUAACUCCGUGCCAGCAGCCGCGGUAAUACGGAGGGUGCGAGCGUUAAUCGGAAUUACUGGGCGUAAAGCGCAUGCAGGUGGUUUGUUAAGUCAGAUGUGAAAGCCCGGGGCUCAACCUCGGAAUUGCAUUUGAAACUGGCAAACUAGAGUACUGUAGAGGGGGUAGAAUUUCAGGUGUAGCGGUGAAAUGCGUAGAGAUCUGAAGGAAUACCGGUGGCGAAGGCGGCCCCCCUGGACAGAUACUGACACUCAGAUGCGAAAGCGUGGGGAGCAAACAGGAUUAGAUACCCUGGUAG
rnacentral:rRNA from 1 species